ensembl:lncRNA
AUCAAUGAAUCUGCUCUUAUAGUUAUCAAGCUCUGUCAUACUGGCUAGCUUUCUGGGGGCCUCCAUGAUCCCUGGUGUGCUGUGAACUAAGGACUUGAGAUGCUAACAGUCCCCAUGCUUCCUUCUCAUUUUAUUGAAAAUUAACUAUGUGUAGGGCACUGUGUUAAGUAUAUGGAUAUAGAUACAACAAAGAAAAGGAGCUAGGACCCCUGCCUUCAAGAUGCUCACAUCUAGCCAUUGCUGAAAGACAAAGAAGGAGACAGGAACCUCUCUUCUGUGGUAAUAGCCAUUAAAUAUAAUGUGAUGUUAUAAUAAAAGUCUAUAGAAAAUUCUAGAAGGAUUGAGUCAUCCAUCUUGGAACGGGGAUGGUAGUGAAAAGCCAAGGACAUCCUUAAAGAGUAGUUGGUCUUGCAGGAGACAAGAUGCAGAACACUGUGCAGGUAGAGAGAACUUCCCUGGUGAUGGCAUGGAAUGGUCCUUGUUGGAAAGGCACAGACAGGUCUAGAGGCUGAAGUGAGGGUGAGCCAUGCUCAGUGCCUUGAGAUAAGACCAGAAAUAAUUGCUUAAAGGCGGAAGCCUUCUGGUGAAUGACUAGUGAAACCAGUUAAGACAUUGUUUUCAAAUUCUUUUUUGAGCUAUUAUGCUGUGUAAAUUAUUUAACCGGGACAGAUUGUAGUGUGAAAACACUGUGAACACAACAAUUGAUGACUGAGUAACUGGGAGUGAGUCACCAAUAGGUGCUAGGGUGAGGCAGGACUAACUCUUACCGAAAACCAGUUAAAGAUCCUGUGCUUCAUGAUACACUACCAUGCAUAAGGCAGGCCAAAAUUUUUUUUAAGGAGAAAACCAAUUAUGACGGGAUCAAUUAAAAUCAGGAGCCUAGUCACGGAUGUAGAGAUGGACUCAUCGGUUCUCUGUACAUCAACAGCACUCUCAUACCUCUGUGACUACAGUUAUCAUCUAAGUCUUUUCUAUUGAGACUGAGCUCCCUGAGGGCAGGCACCUGCCUUGAAUGUCUGGCAUGUGACAAACUGGCCAAUCCACAUGUAUAGAAUGAGAAGUGAGUAAAGCUAUGCAGACCACUAAGGAUUCUCUGUUGCCCUUUGUAAGAAUGUGUACUAAAUACAGUCCCCAUCUCCCUGUUAACCUAUGAAGAAUUACUGAAGAGAAUGAUUGUCUGAGCCAAUUAAAGUUUUGCAUAUCUUUGAAUCCUGCUUCUGCUAUUUAUUAAGUACUUGAUUUAAAGUAAAU